CACCUGAUCCCAUUCCGAACUCAGUAGUGAAACGUCUCAGCGCCGAUGGUAGUGUGGCAGGUGCCAUGUGAGAGUAGGUCAUCUCCAAGC
rnacentral:rRNA from 1 species